UAACUGAGCGGAUGUGUGCGAGCGAGAGAGCGAGCGAGCGAGCAGCAAUAGCAACGGCAAAAGUGAGCACAGUGAUAUUGCAGGCGAGCGCUGUUGCUGAGUGCGCGAGUGUGAAUGCGAGAGAGCGAAUGUAUGUGUGUGUGUGUGCAUGUGUGUGAGUGUGUGGCAUGACAAAGCAAAGCUAACGAACUUGUCAGCCUGAUGUAUGAAAAUGCGCACCGCACAGAGAGAGGGAGAGAGCGAGGGAGAGAGAAUAUAUACAAAAUGCGAAACGCAGAACAGCGUGGCAUAGGGUAAAUCAAAGUUAAUGCCAAAACGAAACAAGACAAAACUAAAUAAAUAAGAAAGACCAACUCAGCAGAUGUAGUUGGCAACAGGCGAAGAUGACGAUAAACAGCCAAAACAAAACAACUGUUCCAGAAAUAGCAAGGCAGAAAGAGAGAGAGAGAGUGUGUGUAGCGAAUGAGAGCACGAUAAGAAACGGCAAAAUGAGAGAUCUAGACAGAAAGAGAGGUAGAGAGCAUGUGUGCGAUCGAUCGCUCGUUUAACGGUCAAACCACAAGGCAACAAAAACAACAAAUCUUAAAAAACCCACAGACUCACACACACGCACACACACACACACACGUGCGCUGGCAAUACCAAUGCUGGUCAAUACGUAUACGCCGCGUGGAACAAGUCUAAUACAUUGACUAAAUGUAAACUCGAGGGGUUGUUGACGUAGGUAAUUUGGACAAGAAAAAAUACCGUCCGGAGCAACUAGCGUCAGCACAGACAGCAUUUCAUUUGAAUAACAAAUAAUAUUUGCCAUUUGUGACAGGUAGACAAGAGUCCACGGACAGGGAGAGGACAAACGGAACAGAUAGACAGCCAGCGAUAGCCAGAUAGCAAAACAGAACAAAAUAUGCUCAUCAGAACAGGUACUUCACAAAUAAGCGCGACCCGUGCUUUAUGGCUUCACGGGAACUGAUUAUCCCGUGGCAAAUGCUUAUCUAAAACACAAAAAUAAAUCAAACAACUACACCCACAUAAUCUUAUCGACGCGUGGCCGCAGCUGUAGCCGUAGCAUGAAAUCUAAAACAACUGUAAACUGCAAAGGUAUCAAAGUCGAAGUUCUACAUGAGUCGCGCGUCGAGUCGCAGCUCAAAUUUCGCUGGGGUCUACGAAAAAAACGGAGCACCCAGCAGAUAGAAGAUCAACUUAAAAGUGACCCUCGCCAAAAAUAAUGCAAUUCAGCAGCAACGCCAACGUCAACGUCCCAACUAUAAAACUACAAACAGAACCAAGCACUCACACACACACACAUACACACACACACACACACAAAUUUGUAUUUAUAUUAUAAACAAUUGAUGUUUAUUUAGAAAGGCUAGAAAAUGUGUUCAUGAUGAUCAUCACCAUUAACAAUCAUCAUCAGCAUGCUCAUUCUCUCCCACUUUUCCAUAUUCCUAAGGCAUCGCGUUUUCUUUCCUUUUCUUUUUGACUGACAUUCAACUUUUGCAUGCGACGCAGUUUCACAUUGUUGGGGGCAGAUUUAUUCAUUUGCUGAUAUUAUUUAUAAAUAUUAAAUUUAUUUAUUAUUUUGUUUCAACGGGGUUAAGCGAGGGAUAGAAAACCAUUGUCAUCGCAGAAGGUCGCGCGGCAAUUACUUGAAA